rnacentral:lncRNA from 1 species
GGAUGGAUCAACAUUGUUACUCCACAAUACUAACCUAAUUGACGGAGUGAAAAGAAGGAAGCCUGUACAGAAUACAAAUAUUCCAACAACUGUUUGCAACAAGACACGAAAGUAAUACUGCAAAAAAAUGUUGUCCUGAAUAUAAAGUCUUAUGUUCGGGGCAAGUAUUAUACAUUACUGAGUACCACUGUCCAUAUUUUCAAUCAUAGUGGUGGCUGCUUCAUGUUAUGGGUAUGUUUGUAAACAUUAAGGACAGGGGAGUUUAAAAAAAAAAAGAAACGGAUUGGAGCCUAACACAGGCAAAGUCCUAGAGUAUAACCUGGUUUAGUCUGCUUUCCACCAGACACUGAUGAAUUCACCUUCCAGCAGGACAACAACCUAAAACACAAGGCCAAAUCCCUUACUGGAGUUGCUUACCAAGAAGACAGUGAAUUUUCCUGAGUGGCCGAGUUACAGUUUUGACUUAAAUCUCCUUGAAAAGCUAUGGCAAGACUUGAAAAUGGUUGUCUAGCAAUGAUCAACAAGCCAUUUGACAGAGCUUGAAGAAUUUUGAAAAGAAUAAUGGGCAAAUAUAUUGUACAAUCCAGGUGUGGAAAGCUCUUAGAGACUUACCCAGAAAUACUCACAGCUGUAAUCGCUGCAAAAGGUGAUUCUAACACGUAUUGACUCAGGGGUGUGAAUACUUACGUAAAUGAGAUAUUUCUGUAUUUCAUUUCAAUACAUUUGAAAAGAUUUCAAAAAAUAUAUUUUCACUUUGUUAUUAUGGGGUAUUGUGUGUAAAUAGGGUAAGAUUUUUUUUUUUAAUACAUUUUGAAAUCAGGCUGUAACAACAAAUGUUGAAUAAAUCAAGAGGUGUGAAUAAAUAUUUUCUGAAGGCACUGUGAAUAUGAAUAACAUAUACAAAAUGUACAGGAGCCAUUAAGUUAAGAUCUCAUUACGGCAAAACUACAUUAGAUGAAAACCUAUAACAGAUUUGGGUCUAGUUUAAUGGACCCAGAUUAAGCGUAAUCUGAGAUUCUCCAGGACGAGGUUUAAUCUGAGUCCGGGAAGCCGUGCUAAAGAGUAGGCCUGGUUGAACAUAAUGCAUCUUGAGUUUGACCAGGGCUGUCACACUCAUUUUGCCUGGGGCGCAUUCGGUCUUCAACGAGGUCUGGAGGGCUAUACUGAAAUUUGGAUAUAUUUCCUCACAGUCAAAAUUUGCUAAAGUAGUUCUCUAGAGUUGUACUCAACAUCCGCGGAGUACAACUCACACAGGAACCGACGUAGGUCCUAAUCCAGGCACUUGUUGUCACGGGUGUCGUAGGGUAGAGACCAAGACGCAGCGGGAAAAUGUAUACUCAUCUUCUUUUAUUAUAGUGAAGAAGGAAAACACAUACAAUGUAUACAAAACAAAACGAACUUGACAGUCUUGUCAGGCAAAACAGCUAAACAAGAACAAUCUCCCACAAAAUCCCAUGAAAAACAAACUCGUAAUUAUAGGACCCUCAAUCAGAGGCAACAAUAACCAGCUGCCUCCAAUUGAAGGUCCAACCCCAAUUAACUAAACAUAGAACUACAAAAGACUAGAUAGAACAUAGAAAUAUACUAACAUAGAACAAUGACUAACAAACCCCGGACUAAUAAAUCAAAUACCCCUCUACCUAAACACAUACACAAAACACACCCUGAACCACAUAAAACAAACACCCCCUUCCACGUCCUGACCAAACUACAAUAACAAAUAACCCCUAUACUGGUCAAGACGUGACACUUGUCAUCUCCCGUCUGGACUACACUCUAAAAAUAAAGGUUCCUGGAGUAUCCUUUAGGGGUUCUUCAAAUUGAAACUAUGGGGGAACCCCUAUAAAUUCUUUGAAGAACCCUUUAAAAAGGUUCUUCAAAGAACACCUUUUAAUGGAUUCUCGAAUAACCUUUUGAAUAACCUUUUGGGGUUCAUUUUUUAUCUACCCCCCUCCCAUAUUAUUAUUAUUAAUAAUAUGCAUAACAAUAGCAACAAUAACAGAAUAUUUUAGUUGUUAGUGUUUAUUUUGAUUUAAAUGGCAAAGCAGAAUAAAAAAAUCUAAAUAUCAGGUAAACUCUGUCACGAUGUUUCGCCGAAGUCAGUCCCUCUCCUUGUUCGGGUGGUGUUCGGCGGUCGACGUCACCGGUCUUCUAGUCAUCGCUGAUCUACCUUUCAUUUUCCAUUGGUUUUGUCUUUGUUUUCUACACACCUGGUUUUCAUUCCACAAUUUCAUGUUCAUGUAUUUAACCCUCUGUUUCCCCCAUGUUUUCUGUGCGUGAUUGUUUUUAUGAUCAUGUCGGUUCAUGAUGGCUGGUUUUUUGACGGGUGCUGUUUUUACCCGUGCGUAAUAUUUACCGGUUGUAUUUGGUCAAGUGCAUUUGUUACCUUGUGCCUUGAUUUAUGAGUAAAGUACGUUGCUCACUCCUUUUUGCUCUCCUGCGCCUGACUUCAUGCACCAGCUACACUCACCUUCUGACAAACUCCCAGCAGAGCCCCGAGUCCAAUGGGAAUAUCCUCUGAUGUGUUAAUGUGUUGAUGUUCUCCGUAUCCAUAGCCAGAAUGAUUUUGCAGUACAUGGUGAUCAAACAGGUUUCCUGUUAUAUUCAUGGUGUACGGGGUGAAGUCUGAGAGUCGCUAAAAUACUCCAACCUGUUAAGACAGCUGCUUCCUGGCGAGCUGGUAGAGGUUGACGAUCUUCCUGGAUGUUGAUUUAGCUGAUUUAAAGCCCUCAGAGGACAACAUGAUCUCA